AUUGAACGCUGGCGGCAUGCCUUACACAUGCAAGUCGAACGGUAACAGGUUAAGCUGACGAGUGGCGAGCGGGUGAGUAAUGUAUCGGAACGUGCCCAGUCGUGGGGGAUAACUACUCGAAAGAGUGGCUAAUACCGCAUACGAACUGAGGGUGAAAGCGGGGGACCGUAAGGCGUCGCGCGAUUGGAGCGGCCGAUAUCGGAUUAGCUAGUUGGUGGGGUCAAAGCCCACCAAGGCGACGACCUGUAGCUGGUCUGAGAGGACGACCAGCCACACUGGGACUGAGACACGGCCCAGACUCCUACGGGAGGCAGCAGUGGGGAAUUUUGGAAAAUGGACGCAAGUCUGAUCCAGCCAUGCCGCGUGCGGGAAGAAGGCCUUCGGGUUGUAAACCGCUUUUGUCAGGGAAGAAACGAGUUUCUCUAAUACAGAGACUUAAUGACGGUACCUGAAGAAUAAGCACCGGCUAACUACGUGCCAGCAGCCGCCGUAACAC
rnacentral:rRNA from 1 species